rnacentral:rRNA from 1 species
GACGAACGCUGGCGGCGUGCCUAAUACAUGCAAGUCGAACGCACUCUCGUUUAGAUUGAAGGAGUUUGCUCCUGAUUGAUAAACAUUUGAGUGAGUGGCGGACGGGUGAGUAACACGUGGGUAACCUGCCCUAAAGUGGGGGAUAACAUUUGGAAACAGAUGCUAAUACCGCAUAAAACCUAACACCGCAUGGUGUAGGGUUGAAAGAUGGUUUCGGCUAUCACUUUAGGAUGGACCCGCGGUGCAUUAGUUAGUUCGUGAGGUAAAGGCUCACCAGGACCGUGAUGCAUAGCCGGCCUGAGAGGGUAAUCGGCCACACUGGGACUGAGACACGGCCCAGACUCCUACGGGAGGCAGCAGUAGGGAAUCUUCCACAAUGGACGAAAGUCUGAUGGAGCAACGCCGCGUGAGUGAAGAAGGUUUUCGGAUCGUAAAACUCUGUUGUUGGAGAAGAAUGUAUCUGAUAGUAACUGAUCAGGUAGUGACGGUAUCCAACCAGAAAGCCACGGCUAACUACGUG